GUUCAUGGGCUCCAGGGAAACAUCUUGCGUCUUCGCUGACGAGUGGCGGACGGGUGAGUAAUGUCUGGGAAACUGCCUGAUGGAGGGGGAUAACUACUGGAAACGGUAGCUAAUACCGCAUAACGUCGCAAGACCAAAGAGGGGGACCUUCGGGCCUCUUGCCAUCGGAUGUGCCCAGAUGGGAUUAGCUAGUAGGUGGGGUAACGGCUCACCUAGGCGACGAUCCCUAGCUGGUCUGAGAGGAUGACCAGCCACACUGGAACUGAGACACGGUCCCAGACUCCUACGGGAGGCAGCAGUGGGGAAUAUUGCACAAUGGGCGCAAGCCUGAUGCAGCCAUGCCGCGUGUAUGAAGAAGGCCUUCGGGUUGUAAAGUACUUUCAGCGGGGAGGAAGGGAGUAAAGUUAAUACCUUUGCUCAUUGACGUUACCCGCAGAAGAAGCACCGGCUAACUCCGUGCCAGCAGCCGCGGUAAUACGGAGGGUGCAAGCGUUAAUCGGAAUUACUGGGCGUAAAGCGCACGCAGGCGGUUUGUUAAGUCAGAUGUGAAAUCCCCGGGCUCAACCUGGGAACUGCAUCUGAUACUGGCAAGCUUGAGUCUCGUAGAGGGGGGUAGAAUUCCAGGUGUAGCGGUGAAAUGCGUAGAGAUCUGGAGGAAUACCGGUGGCGAAGGCGGCCCCCUGGACGAAGACUGACGCUCAGGUGCGAAAGCGUGGGGAGCAAACAGGAUUAGAUACCCUGGUAGUCCACGCCGUAAACGAUGUCGACUUGGAGGUUGUGCCCUUGAGGCGUGGCUUCCGGAGCUAACGCGUUAAGUCGACCGCCUGGGGAGUACGGCCGCAAGGUUAAAACUCAAAUGAAUUGACGGGGGCCCGCACAAGCGGUGGAGCAUGUGGUUUAAUUCGAUGCAACGCGAAGAACCUUACCUGGUCUUGACAUCCACAGAACUUUCCAGAGAUGGAUUGGUGCCUUCGGGAACUGUGAGACAGGUGCUGCAUGGCUGUCGUCAGCUCGUGUUGUGAAAUGUUGGGUUAAGUCCCGCAACGAGCGCAACCCUUAUCCUUUGUUGCACAGCGGUCCGGCCGGGAACUCAAAGGAGACUGCCCAUGUGAUAAACUGGAGGAAGGUGGGGAUGAACGUCAGAGUCAUCAUGGCCCUUACGACCAGGGCUACACACGUGCUACAAUGGCGCAUACAAAGAGAAGCGACCUCGCGAGAGCAAGCGGACCUCAUAAAGUGCGUCGUAGUCCGGAUUGGAGUCUGCAACUCGACUCCAUGAAGUCGGAAUCGCUAGUAAUCGUGGAUCAGAAUGCCACGGUGAAUACGUUCCCGGGCCUUGUACACGCCGCCCGUCACACCAUGGGAGUGGUAUGACGAUAAAGUCAGUGAGGUCAACGUAAGU
rnacentral:rRNA from 1 species